CGGCGAGUGAAGCGGUAACAGCUCAAAUUUGAAAUCUGGCCUCACGGUCCGAGUUGUAAUUUGUAGAGGAUGCUUCGAGCAUGGUCUGGCCUAAGUUCCUUGGAACAGGACGUCAUAGAGGGUGAGAAUCCCGUAUGCGGCCAGGUGCCUACGCUCAUGUGAAGCUCCUUCGACGAGUCGAGUUGUUUGGGAAUGCAGCUCAAAAUGGGUGGUAAAUUUCAUCUAAAGCUAAAUAUUGGCCAGAGACCGAUAGCGCACAAGUAGAGUGAUCGAAAGAUGAAAAGCACUUUGGAAAGAGAGUUAAACAGUACGUGAAAUUGUUGAAAGGGAAGCGCUUGCAACCAGACUUGCGCGCGGCCGAUCAUCCGGUGUUCUCACCGGUGCACUCGGCCGUGCUCAGGCCAGCAUCGGUUUUGGCGGCUGGAUAAAGGCCCUAGGAAUGUAGCUCCUCUCGGGGAGUGUUAUAGCCUAGGGUGCAAUGCAGCCUGCUGGGACCGAGGACCGCGCUUCGGCUAGGAUGCUGGCGUAAUGGUUGUAAGCGGCCCGUCUUGAAACACGGACCAAGGAGUCUAACAUCUAUGCGAGUGUUUGGGUGUCAAACCCAUACGCGUAAUGAAAGUGAACGGAGGUGAGAACCCUUAAGGGUGCAUCAUCGACCGGUCCUGAAGUUUACGGAAGGAUCUGAGUAAGAGCAUAGCUGUUGGGACCCGAAAGAUGGUGAACUAUGCCUGAAUAGGGUGAAGCCAGAGGAAACUCUGGUGGAGGCUCGCAGCGGUUCUGACGUGCAAAUCGAUCGUCAAAUUUGGGUA
rnacentral:rRNA from 1 species